UCAGGAGCUUUCUUAACAAGUGGUCCCUCUUUGGGAUCUCAGGUUGAAACAAGGGCCAUUGCAGAAUCUUUUAGAGUGGGGAGGAGACCUGGGGACAGUAGUGACCAGCUUUUCCGCUAAGGAAGGUCUGCCUUAGUGUUUGUCCAUGAUGAUGUUUUAGCUCACACUGCACACAGGCUAAUCCCUAAUGGCAAUGAAAUAGGAUGGCUCCAAGGCUAAGAAGAACCAUAGGGGAAACAGCUGCUAUUGGAAAACUGAACUGGGCAUCACACCCCACAAAAUUAUCAUGGCAACCAUGACCAGCUUCCAUUUGCUUAGAUACAUCUGCCUCAAUCAUGGGCGACAGAAUGAUAAAGGAUGGACUUCUGUACCAUGCAGCUCUUCCCAUCCCCAUUGGCAAUACUGUCACAGCAAGCCUAGAAAACAAUGAAGCAAAACAUGCAAUUAUUUCGAUAUCUUGGUGCAAACAAACACUGCUGUUCAGACAAAGAGGAAAGCACGGCGGAAGCAGAACUCCCAGCCACCAGGCAGUUCAAAAUAUUUGUUGGUGGCAUCUAACUUCAGCAGCAUAAAGGUCUCAGGAUAAAGUGUUUCCAAGCGGUGCAGUUCUCAAGCUGGGCUUCAUCUGAGCUCUGUGGAUUAAGCCUAAUUGACAGGCAGAGAAUAACUAGAAAAGCAGGUGCUGGCCCAACCGACACAAAUCCAGUUUUUCCCGCCCAGCUCUCAAGUGCCAGCCUAGUUCAUUUACAUUCUUCAUGGGCAGAGCUAUAGUUGCUAAAAUCACUUAUAUCUAGAUGUACAAUGUAAAAGAAACCCUUCUGAUGGCUGCAAAUGUUCCAGGCAAAAGAAAGAAUUCUGCUUCAGGAUGUUCAUCUGGUUGAGUUGACUACUUACAGAAGAUGAAGGAGAGCUGUAUAGAAAAUCUUGGCUUUCUUCCCUAUGGACAAAGUCAAGAUUUUCCACAGUCAUGCAGGAAGUGGAUCGCAUGGCUCUCUAGUGCCUUAGGUCUUUAAUCUCAUCUUUUCUUUUUUUUUUUAAUUUAAAUUCAAUUAGCCAACACAUAGUACUUCAUUAGUUUCAGAGGUAGUGUUCAAUAAUAUAGCAACACCCAGUGCUCAUCUUUUCUGUUGAUACCUUUUCUGGUUACACUGCUUAAGAUUUUACCUACUCUUUCCCCUUCAACACAAAAAUAUAAAUUCAUUCCCAAGUUCCUUUCCCUGUCUAAUUUUUCUUCAUAACUCUUAUCAUUAUUUUGUGUGCUGUAUGUUUUGCUCAUUUAUGGUGUAUCUCAUCUGUCUCACUCCACUAGAAUGCUGACCCUACAAAGGAAGGGUUCUGUUUUCUUUGUUUACUUCUGUAUCCCCAACCGGCCUUGUGCAUAGUAGGUGUUCAGUCAAUAUCAUAGGAGAAUGGUUGAAUGCAUUAUCAAGGAAAAAAGACAACUGUCACAAAUAGUUGAACCAUCAAAAUGAUGACUGCUGAUUGUACAAUUCAGUUGGUUUUAAUCACAAAGGAAGCUUCGACAGAGGGAGGGAGUACUAAACUGGGGAUAAGGCACAUCUAGGCUGUCACUCUGUUAUCUGAGCAGGUCACUUGGCCUAUCGGGGUAUCAAUUUCUCAUCCUUAAACAAGGAUGACUAAGAUAGAAGAUCUCUAAAGCACCCUCCAAUUCCACCAUUCAGGCAUUCAUUUGCUUUUUAUUUCAUGGUCCGUGAGAGACUCUAAGGCCAGAGUCUCAGGGAAAAUAAAGAUGGUUUCAUUAUGGUGUUUUGCACCUAUCAUAUAUCAUAAAGUACGGUGACAGAAGUUAAAUCACAAGAGAUAGGCCAAAAUAAGAAAGUAUAAGGUAGUUUAAAAUAGAGCCAAAAAUAAAACAGAGGAGCAAAAUAGAGCAAAGAAAAAAAGAGAAUGAAAGUGGAGGUGGGGACUAUUCCAUUGCAUAAAAGGAAGCACAUAGAAAGGAUGAUAUCAAGAGAGAUGGAUUUCUAACAGUGUAUGCUGAUCACAACCCCAUAAUGAAUCGUGAUUUACAACACAAUUUUUGCAAAUAGACUUGGUAUAUCGAAUUGUUCUAACAGAUCAUGUUUUUAAAUGACUUCUGAAUGUUUAAUAAUAAUAAAAAAAAACUUAACAUGUGGACCUUGAGAUUACUGCCUUGCCAUAAAACAAGGUGAUUUUUCCUUAAAUGAAUUAUUUCCUUAAAAUGAAUUAUUCUCUGUGAGCCACUGCAAGGCCUAUGGAGCACUAUUCACACCAAUUCUCUUUCUUUACACACUUUU